rnacentral:rRNA from 1 species
GAUGAACGCUGGCGGCGUGCCUAAUACAUGCAAGUCGAGCGAAUGGAUUAAGAGCUUGCUCUUAUGAAGUUAGCGGCGGACGGGUGAGUAACACGUGGGUAACCUGCCCAUAAGACUGGGAUAACUCCGGGAAACCGGGGCUAAUACCGGAUAACAUUUUGAACCGCAUGGUUCGAAAUUGAAAGGCGGCUUCGGCUGUCACUUAUGGAUGGAACCGCGUCGCAUUAGCUAGUUGGUGAGGUAACGGCUCACCAAGGCAACGAUGCGUAGCCGACCUGAGAGGGGGAUCGGACACACUGGGACUAAGACACGGACCAGACUCCUACGGGAGGCAGCAGUAGGGAAUCUUCCGCAAUGGACGAAAGUCUGACGGAGCAACGCCGCGUGAGUGAUGAAGGCUUUCGGGUCGUAAAACUCUGUUGUUAGGGAAGAACAAGUGCUAGUUGAAUAAGCUGACACCUUGACGGAACCUAACCAGAAAGCCACGGCUAACUACGUGCCAGCAGCCGCUGUAA